GAAACGGUGGCAACGGUGACAAGGAGAAUGGCAAUAAAAAAUUAUGGUGGUGGCUUAUUUCUGUUCUCUUGAUUCCACUGGGAGCACUGGUGUAUCGAUGCAUCAAACAUUGCAAACGGAGGAAAGCACUUGAGAUGUCUGAGGCACCUGAAGCUGGUCCCCUGAUGUAAACAAACUUUUUCUCAUGUCCCCCACUUCUAAAGUAUACGUGUGUUUGUGCGCGUGUAUAUUGAUGGCUCCCGGCCGUCUGCUUUGUACAGGGAAAGUGAACCUAAUGAGCUUAAACCUGAAUGAUGAAAUAGAGUUCAGGAGAUGAUGCAUUGUGGGGCUCUAUUAUGAUUAACCGAUGUUUGGCUUGUCUCUGAUUGAGGAAUAGUGGUUGUUAAUAAAUGUUUGUUUUGCACAGCCACAGACGCCGGUUGAUAUGUUCCACAGUGUUGUGAUAAAAGUUAACUUUUCCUGGAGAUUCUGCAACACUCGCCUCGGAUGUUUUUCCUUUUUCUCAAUUGUCUUCAUCCAUUUUAUUAAUUUAUUAUUCUUCCUUGUGUUGCAGACCGAAUGGAAUGGAAAUGAAAACAAAGUGUGAUGUUGUACUGAAUAACACUCCAAACUCUGACAUGGAAAAACCAGGGACGUUUGCCAAGUACUCCACUGUCACAUUAGAAAACGAUUCAGAUCUUCAAGCUGUGGUUGACGUGUUACGAGACCUUCCCCAGGAUGUUAUUCGACCCAUUCUUCGAAACCUGGAUGUUCAGGAUACGGACAUAGAUAACUUGAAUACCUCUGGUUACAAUGAAAAGAUUUAUGCAUACUUCAACUGUUGGAGGCAGAAAGUGGGCAAGGAUUGCUCUUUGGUACCAAUUCUAGAAAAACUCGAGUUCCGCAGUCAAAAGCUUACCAUGGAUAAGGUUAUGGGGGAGGGGGGGGGGGGGGGGGGGGGGGGGGGGGGGGGGGGGGGGGGGGGGGGGGGGGGGGGGGGGGGGGGGGGGGGGGGGGGGGGGGGGGGGGGGGGGGGGGGGGGGGGGGGGGGGGGGGGGGGGGGGGGGGGGGGGGUAAGAGCCCCAGACCCACAAACGCUUGACAAAGAAGAAAGCAACGAUGUAAGAGCCCCAGACCCACAAACGCUUGACAAAGAAGAAAGCAAUGAUGCUGCACCUCUGCAGAGAGAUGAACAUUAA
rnacentral:lncRNA from 1 species